rnacentral:rRNA from 1 species
GAUGAACGCUAGCGGCAGGCCUAACACAUGCAAGUCGAGGGAGGAGCCUUCGGGCUUCGACCGGCGUACGGGUGCGUAACGCGUAUACAAUCUGCCUUUCACAUAGGGAUAGCCCGAAGAAAUUUGGAUUAAUACCUAAUGGUAUAUAGAUGUGGCAUCACCUUUAUAUUAAAGCUGAGGCGGUGAAAGAUGAGUAUGCGUUCUAUUAGCUAGUUGGAGAGGUAACGGCUCCCCAAGGCGACGAUAGAUAGGGGUUCUGAGAGGGAUAUCCCCCACACUGGUACUAAGAUGCGGACCAGACUCCUACGGGAGGCAGCAGUGAGGAAUAUUGGACAAUGGUCGGAAGACUGAUCCAGCCAUGCCGCGUGCAGGAAGACGGCCUUAUGGGUUGUAAACUGCUUUUGCAGGGGAAGAAUAAGGACUACGCGUAGUUUGAUGACGGUACUCUGCGAAUAAGCAUCGGCUAACUCCGUG